rnacentral:hammerhead_ribozyme from 1 species
AUCUAGCUGGUGAGUCUCAAAUGAGAUGAAACGGAUGUCCUAGAU